AUCAAACUUGUAGGCUUUAAUUUAACGGCAAAUAAAAUAAUUAGACAAGCACCUAAAAAAAUUAAUUAGACGGUGUCGCUUUGGCACUCAAAGGCCGAAGGAAUGGCUAGAAAGAAGCUCCUCCGUCGACAAAGAAACAAACAAGCACGGGGGAGCUCUCACCCGCGGUGAGAGCAUGAUGCACACGUUAGCAGCACCCCAGCUGAAGAAUGAAUGUAAUGCUGCCUUGAAAGUUGAAAUGUUCAGUCAAAUCAAACUAUUUUAUUGGUUAAGUAUUGUUGCUCUUUCAUAUUUAUUUUUUUCCUUUCUUUGGAGCAGUAUUUGUGUCGUUUUAAUCCUCGAAAUGUUCAUUCUCGCAAUUUCUCAUCAUCUUCAUCGCCAUCAUGCAGUAAAAGAUGUCUGCUCUCUCCCUCUCUUUCUCGGUUUUGUCAUUGUUAAUUACAAGUAUUGAGUUAAACCCAGCUCAUCAUCUUCAUCACCAUCGUUCUUUGGGUAUAAAUCACGAGCUGCUAGUAUUAUGUUGACGUGAGUUGCGAUCACGGAGCUUUUUUCUUCUCUGAUCAUAGCAUUUGAUGAUGGAUUCGUUUUUAUCUGUAAAUUUAUUGUUGACAGAUUGCACCUCUUCGGGAUCAGAUAUUUUUAGGUCCCUUUUCUCCUAGGGUGUUGUACUUGUUUUUUUUUUUGCUGUGUUCGUGAUUUUUAGAACUGAUGACCCAUAGUUACGUAAAUGAACUAUUGAAUGUCAGGUUUCUUUUUUUUAUUCAUACGCAAAUCACAGUGUAAGGUCUGCUGCUGCUGCUUCUUCUUGAUUUCUAGUUGAACGAAGGAUGAGAGUAGUGGAGAUGGGUGGGGCUCAAACUGCUCAAGAGUUGUUCAACAUGUAAGGAGCUGCUAAAGAUGACCACACCAGGAAAGCGGAUUUGAAAGCUCUGGCUGCCCUCUCACAGCCAGGGUAUAUAGGUUCUUUAGGCGUGAUGUGAUGUGAUGGGCUCGAUUUACAUAUUUGAGUAUUCAACCUAUGACAACAUCCAUAAAUGUUCAUGACAAUACAAUUGCUGCCAAGAGUUGCUGGAACUUGAUAUUUCCGUUUUGAAACUGCAGAUGAAGCUCUCAGAGCUUUACACCAUGCAGGGGCAAUCUCGGUGAUUAAGUCUAUCCCAGAUUCCUCUGAUGAAGUUGAAAUUGAGACAUGUAAGGCUAGCUUGCUGAAGAGAUUCCAGGAUCUGAGAUAUGAUAGUUCGUCUUAAGUAAUCGAUUCAGGGCAUGACCUUUACCAAUGCAGGCUUGAAGUACAGUCAGGUCAAAAAGUCAUCUGACAUCUUGGAGAGAUUAGGCUUCACAAGUAAUGAAAAUACAGUGCAUAUCUUUUGAAUGUAAUUUGAACCAAAAUUUCCCCAUCUAUACUCGUGUUUUUAAUGCUAUGAAUCGUAGGGGUUUGUAUACCAUGAGCUCGUGGAGUGGAUAUGUAAUAGUUGUCCUGCGCAGUUAUAAUUGUGCUCGUAAGGCUGUGUUUACAUUGAGUAGCUUAGUUUGUGACCCUGAUGGUUUGCCAAGCAAGUAGUUAGCAUUUAGCACACGUCCACCAAUUUUUGUG